rfam:Thermoplasmatales archaeon BRNA1, complete genome.
UAGCGACUCCAUCCACGUCGAUGUUCAGUCCGGACAUGAGAGUACAAUGACUGCAUUGCUCACGGCCCUUUCGGGCUCGAACAACGUGUUCGGGUCCG